GAUGAACGCUGGCGGCGUGCCUAAUACAUGCAAGUCGAGCGAACAGACGAGGAGCUUGCUCCUCUGACGUUAGCGGCGGACGGGUGAGUAACACGUGGAUAACCUACCUAUAAGACUGGGAUAACUUCGGGAAACCGGAGCUAAUACCGGAUAAUAUAUUGAACCGCAUGGUUCAAUAGUGAAAGACGGUUUUGCUGUCACUUAUAGAUGGAUCCGCGCCGCAUUAGCUAGUUGGUAAGGUAACGGCUUACCAAGGCAACGAUGCGUAGCUGACCUGAGAGGAGGAUCAGCGACACUGGAACGGAGACAAGGUCCAGACUCGUACGGGAGGCAGCAGUGGGGAAUAUGGGGCAAUGGGCGCAAGCCUGAGCCAGCCAUACCGCGUGGGUGAAGAAGGCCUGCGGGUUGUAAAGCCCUGGGGUGGGGAAAGAAAAGCAGCAGGGUAAUACCCCGCUGUGCUGACGGUACCCAAAGAAUAAGCACCGGCUAAGUUCGUG
rnacentral:rRNA from 1 species